GUCGUCAGCUCGUGUCGUGAGAUGUUGGGUUAAGUCCCGCAACGAGCGCAACCCUUUUCCUUAUUUGCCAGCGGGUUAAGCCGGGAACUUUAAGGAUACUGCCAGUGACAAACUGGAGGAAGGCGGGGACGACGUCAAGUCAUCAUGGCCCUUACGACCAGGGCUACACACGUGCUACAAUGGUCGGUACAAAGGGUUGCUACCUAGCGAUAGGAUGCUAAUCUCAAAAAGCCGAUCGUAGUCCGGAUUGGAGUCUGCAACUCGACUCCAUGAAGUCGGAAUCGCUAGUAAUCGCGGAUCAGAAUGCCGCGGUGAAUACGUUCCCGGGA
rnacentral:rRNA from 2 species